rnacentral:rRNA from 1 species
UCGGACCGCGACCCCAGGUCAGGCGGGAUACCCGCUGAUUU